ACACUGCAGGUGUGCAGGUGAAGGCAAAUGCAAUUCCCGCCAAAUGCAACUCCCUGACGGGCUGGCAGAAGCCCGGUUCCCAGAUGCCCCUGGUGCUGGACUUGGAGACCUCUGGGUCAAUUUCCUGCCUACCUUCAAUGCCCCCUCUGACCAGAAGUUCUUCCCUAGCGGUAAUUUUCUCCUCGUUUUAGACUCACCCAAAGCAGUGCGGGAGCCUCCUGAUAUAUGCGCCCCCUGGGCCGGGCAGGAAGCUGGCAACUCCAGAAACAAGAGGUGGGGCUGUUCAGAAGAGCUAAUCCCGAGUGCCGAGUGCCGCGGGGCAGGCCUGACCCGAUCAGGAAUGCGCAGCAUCCGAAGCCCUGGCUAAAGAUGAAGAUGUUGCUGGGCAUGGUUGAAACAAGCCUGGGAUUUCAGCACUUAAGAGACAAACUCCUAAAGAUCAGAGGUUCAGGCCAUUCUUGGCUACAUAAUGAGUUUGAGGCCAGCCUGGGCUAAGUGAGAAUUGUUUUCAACAGCUAAACAGUAAGACAUUGUAAAGAUGGAGAUGGAGCCUGUCACUUGGAGGUCCUGCCAGAGCUACAAGAAGACAGGCGGCACAUGGUGGUGCCUACCUGCGAUACCAGUACUCGAAAGGCUGAGGACGGAGAAUUGUCAAAAGUUUAAGAUCAAUCUGGGCUACACCGCAAGACUAUUAAAGAAGGAGGACAGCUGGUACACGCCUUUAAUCCCAGCACUUGGGAAGGAGGAGGAUCUCUGUGAGUUCGAGGCCAUCCUGGUUUACAAGAACUAGUUCCAGGACAGGCUCCAAAGCUACAGAGAAACCCUGUC